rnacentral:sRNA from 1 species
AGCAGCCGCGGUAAUUCCAGCUCCAAUAGCGUAUAUUAAAGUUGUUGCAGUUAAAAAGCUCGUAGUUGAAUUUCGGGAUCAAUAUUUCGGUCAUGCCGUUGGUAUGCACUGUUAUCAUUGAUUUCUCACCUUCUAAAGAACCGUAAUGCCAUUAAUUUGGUGUUACGGGGAAUUAGGACUGUUACCUUGAAAAAAUUAGAGUGUUUAAAGCAGGCUCACGCUUGAAUACAUUAGCAUGGAAUAAUGAAAUAGGACGUUCGAUCUUAUUUUGUUGGUUUCUAGGAUUGACGUAAUGAUUAAUAGGGAUAGUUGGGGGCAUUAGUAUUCAAUUGUCAGAGGUGAAAUUCUUGGAUUUAUUGAAGACUAACUACUGCGAAAGCAUUUGCCAAGGAUGUUUUCAUUAAUCAAGAACGAAAGUUAGGGGAUCGAAGACGAUCAGAUACCGUCGUAGUCUUAACCAUAAACUAUGCCGACUAGGGAUCGGAUGAUGUUAAUUUUUUAGUGACUC